AAUAGAUACCCUGGUAGUCCAUGCCGUAAACGUUGGGCACUAGGUGUGGGGCUCAUUCCACGAGUUCCGCGCCGCAGCAAACGCAUUAAGUGCCCCGCCUGGGGAGUACGGCCGCAAGGCUAAAACUCAAAGGAAUUGACGGGGGCCCGCACAAGCGGCGGAGCAUGCGGAUUAAUUCGAUGCAACGCGAAGAACCUUACCAAGGCUUGACAUGCACGGGAAGCCACCAGAGAUGGUGGUCUCUUUGGACACUCGUGCACAGGUGGUGCAUGGUUGUCGUCAGCUCGUGUCGUGAGAUGUUGGGUUAAGUCCCGCAACGAGCGCAACCCUCGUCCCAUGUUGCCAGCGGGUUAUGCCGGGGACUCAUGGGAGACUGCCGGGGUCAACUCGGAGGAAGGUGGGGAUGACGUCAAAUCAUCAUGCCCCUUAUGUCUUGGGCUUCACGCAUGCUACAAUGGCCGGUACAAAGGGCUGCGAUACCGUAAGGUGGAGCGAAUCCCAAAAAGCCGGUCUCAGUUCGGAUUGGGGUCG
rnacentral:rRNA from 1 species